AUGAUAUGGAUAUGUGGAUUGCCAUUAACCAUCAAGGAGGUUUACAUCCGACCAGACUAUCCGGUCCGUCUACACCCGUCUCCGGUCCGUCUACAUCCGCCCGAGACUAGUCAAGAUGAAGACUCAUUCAACCGGAGCAUUUAUGAGCUUUGACCAAGACUAUAUCUUUGUGGUCAAUAUGUAAUAAAUGUGUAGAUACUCUCCUUGUUGUAAACCCUUAUGAACCUCCACUAUAUAUUGAUAGUGAGAGCUAAUGAGAAAGACACAACUUUCACAACAACACUUCUCUCAUAUUUCACCCUCGUCACUUAAGUUUCAAACGGACCCCUUCUUCUCUCUCGAUUUCGAAUGAACCCUGGAUUCUGGGAUUUUCCCCCUUUGUCGCGAGAAAGAAAGAGACCAAAUAUUAUGUUAGGUUUUUUUGGGCCAAAAAUCUCAUUUGUGGCACAAUAAAACUCUUGUUUAAUAAUGGUUGGGUCUGGUUUUUUUUUAAUUGGGUCGAUCUCGGGUUUCAAUUAACCAAACGGCAAAUCACAUGCCGUUACCAUCUCCGACGUCCACGUGGCGUUUCCAACACGAGGCGUUUCCGACAGAUUAAAUUAAGCUAAUGAUGUUAGUAACAUAACAACAUAUAGUUCAGGGAUGUUAGCAUGUAAUCCAUAUACUUCGUGUAGUUGAGUGUGCAUUUUUAAAGUUGGCAUGGUUAAUCAUGUGGUAGCCGAUACUUCGGGUAGCUGUCAAUCAUUUUUCCUAUUUUUAAUGGACUAAUAGUUAAGCUUCGAGUUACUGUUUUUGUAUCACGAGAACCUUUUUUCAUUUUGUUCUUUUUGUCUUAGAAAAAUAAUAUAGUUCUGAUCAGUUUCUAGCAUAUGCAUUUAAAAUCUGAUGCCAAGUUGCCAUCCACACAAAGGUUUUAGUGGUACGAGACUUUGAGAACCCAAAACAAUCUUACAAUACUUAAAUAUGUGUGGUCAGAUACAAAAUUAUGUUUUAGGUUUUAUCUGAUUAUCCGAAGAGAAAAUUCAAUCUAUGGUUGCACCUCAUUUUAAAGAUUAAUUUUAAUCUUUGCAAUAGAUCCAUAAUACCCCGAGUUAAUAAUAACUAGAUUCUGAGUCGCCCUUUAUAUUUUUUAUUUUAAUUUUUUUUGAGAAAUUUAAUUUUAUAUUUGUGUUUUUUUGUAAUUAAUAUUAAUUUAAUAGAAUAGGUUAUUUUGGUAAUUAUAGUAAAUAUGUCAAGUUACAUAAAUAUACACUUGUGCUCUAUGUAUUUCAGAAAUUAUUUUUAGACUUUAUUUCUAAAGUUUGCAACAUAUUAUAUUUUUUUAGUAAUUACCUAACAUAAUUAGUCAAGAAUAUUCGUACCCAAAAAAUCCGACUCAAAAUCGACCUGAAAAUCAAAAUCUUAUACUCUAUUAGAAUGUACUCGAACGGUUCUUAAAGUGUUAUAUCCAAAAACCGAUAUCCGACCCAACCCGCACCCGGAACAAAUUUUUUGAAAAAUGUUUGAAAAUAUAAUUUUUAAUAUCUGAUAGGAUAAUUAUAAAACCCAAAACAUGAAACCAAAGAACUAAAUAAUAGCUAGAAGAAUUGGUUGUAAUGUUCUGGAAAGGAUAAAUACCCUGGGUCCCACGUGUUGGUAAAAUAUCUAGAAUGCAUUACCUAUUAGGACACAUUCUUGACUUUCCUUACAACUUAAAGACACAUGUUGCUUGAGAAGCACAUUUUCAGUUUCUAAGGUGUAUUUGGGACAGAAAUGCCAUAUUUGGGUGAAGGAAAAUCGUGAAACAAGUGGGUCUCUUUAGCUGUCAAGUUUGUGGGACCAAAUUUUGUGGGGACCAAACUUAAUGAUAUGCGGUAUAUCUAUUUAUAAUAAUAAAGGAGAGUUUUCUCUCUUGUUAAGCUUCCACCUCAGCAUAUACCAUGAGCUUUUGUUGACAUGUGGCGUCUUUACUUAAAUCACGAUCAUAAUAUUCUUGACGAUAUGAAUCCCAUUGUAACCUCACUGUCUUCUCUGUAAUUCAGUCGAUUCAGUUUUCUCACCUCCAUUACAAACCUAAGGGACUAUAUGUGUCGUCAAGGUUUUUCAAAACAAAAUUUAAUCGAAUCAUAAUCUAGAAAAACCCUUUAAACAGAGCUUCCACCGAUGGCAAUUAACCAACUCCACUUUUCCAAUUUGAAGGCUGGACGUUGCAAGGAGAUAGUUGUGACAUGUCUUCUUCGAUUUUGGGAGACCAGUAAUGUGAAGAAAGCAUGUGAGCGUCUGGAUGUGGAUCUGGUUUUGUGGACAAGAAGCUUUUGAAGCAUGCCGGAUUCAAAACUUACCCAAGUUGGUGGAGGAUAUAUUUCAGACAUCGAUAAACACAGAUCCAGGUGGUGCGUUACGCCUUGUCCAAAGGCGUUCAGGCCUUUGUUGGGUCAGAGGAGAGUGGCUGAAUGAUAUUCUAAGUGCACAAGAGUGUCUGGUGGAUUACCAACUGUCAUCUUGGUCUACUGUCUCCUCUAUAUUUGAGGAAGCUCUUUGAACACAUGUGAACUACUUACAUUAAGUUGGGCCAGCUUCUGCACCAACUUUUUUCCCACCAGAAUAUGUCAAAGAGUUUCAGCAAAGCUCCUCCAGUUCCUUUUGAAGAAGUUCAUAAAAUUUUGCAAGAGGAACUUGGUAGAUCCAUAGACAACGUAAUAUGUUGACCCUACACAACUUGCAUCAGCCUCAAUAGCACAAGUCCAUGAACCAUGGCGCAGGGCUUAGAGGCUAACAAGAGGAUGUCGUGAUUAAGGUCUUGAAGCCUGGAACAGAAGAUUUCUUAGUGGCAGGUUUGAACUUUACCUAUGAUGUUUCCCGUAUAUUUGAGUUCCUUAGUCUUGAGUUCGGCCGUACUUCACUGGUAGGCUCGCUCUCAAGUAGCUGUGAGAAUCCCGUCUCCUCUGUCUUAAUUUAGAGUUGAUGCUAGGUUAUUCUCUAAACAUAUAUCCUUACUCUUGCUUAGAAAUUCCGGAAGCGUUUUCAUUACAACCAUAUGAUCCAAGUUUUGAUGUUUUGUUAUCUGUAUUUUUUUGGGGUUGGUCUCUAUCAUAUCUAAUGACAUUUCUUUUUCCUUUUGUUGGUAUUUUUCGGCCUGAUUUCAGCUCUAUACGCUCAUAAAUGGCUCGGUUCAAGCUUCUAGACACUACUAUAGUUUGCCACACCAUCAAGUAGUUAAGAUAUCUGCUCUUUUUGUGUGAUUUUUCAACUUCUUUUAAACUAAUAUGCAUCCCUAUACUGCACAUGGGGUAUGCAUUAUGAAUAUAUCAUUGGUCUUAGUUCAAGUGAUUUAGUUUGUUUAGACGUCUAAGAUUAUAUACGCAUCUCCUUAAUGGCAUUGGUCCAUUAAUAUAGUUAAGUUAUGUGUUUUUAUAUGUCAGGAAUUAUUUCUUACUAAAUGGAUUGGGGUGCAGUUGUUGUUGGGCACUAUUCUUGGGUUUCUCAUCAAACUACUAACAUGUCUGAUCGACUCAUCAGUUUCCACUCCACGACCAAAAAUCAGGUAUGUUCUUAAUUCUACUUUCUCCAGAAAAAUGAGAGCACUCUGAGUUGUCUUGAUCUUGAUUCUUUUUAUUUCCAAGAGACAUCAUGGUUUUGUAUGCCAUGACUCAAACCAAGACUGUCGACGAAAAAGGUUUAGAUAAAGGCUUUCUGGCUCUUGCUUUUUGUUGUUUGUAGGAGUAAAUGCACCUCCAUUAGAUUAGGAAUACAAGGAUCCUCAUUAAACAAACUUUUUACAAUCCCUGGAGCAACAAGAAGAGAAAAAAAGAUCUUUCAAGGAUUAAGGAUGUUAGAGCUGGUGAAAAGGAUAUGGUGCUGCACACAGGGACCAGAUCAACGUCCAGAGAGGCAGAUGAACAAAACUGAUAUAGAGUUCCUGAACAGCAAGAUCUUUGCAAAUUUGUGGUGCAUUGUGUGCUUUGGCUUCCGCUUAUUUGAGUAAAAUAUGGAUAUGUUUCACAACACUGAGUAUUCAAAGAUUGUAUAUGAUACCUAUUUGAGACUC